rnacentral:lncRNA from 1 species
AUCUCAUCAAACUAAACGUUCCUAUCAACUUGUCAUUGCUAUUGAAUCACUGCGACGUCCCCAGUGCUAAUGAAUUCAAGUGCGCUUAAUAUAUAAUUAAUUAAGCUCAUCCAUCGGUGACUCUACUUUGUCCCAUCCCUGGUACACGUGUUUGGUUUUGCAACGCAUUCUUGUAAUAAUUGUCUGAGCAUUUGCAAUUGUUUUUUCGUGGAGUGCAAGGAAGGCUGAAUUCUUCGCUCUUGGAGAUUUAUUAUUAAUUACUGUUUGAAGAAAAUAAUAAUGGGAGGAAGCUCCUCACAUUUUUCUUGACGUACGUCUUAAUUUGGUCUUUCCCAUUGGAAUGGAAGAUGUAAUAGAAUUCUGUUUUGUUUCAACUAAAUUAAUGAAUGGAAAUUUUAUAUAGCGUUGUUCUUU